GAUGAACGCUGGCGGCGUGCUUAACACAUGCAAGUCGAACGGGAUCGGCUGGAGCUUGCUCCGGCCGUGAGAGUGGCGAACGGGUGAGUAAUGCGUGACCGACCUGCCCCAUACACCGGAAUAGCUCCUGGAAACGGGUGGUAAUGCCGGAUGCUCCAGUUGACCGCAUGGUCCUCUGGGAAAGCUUUCGCGGUAUGGGAUGGGGUCGCGUCCUAUCAGCUUGAUGGCGGGGUAACGGCCCACCAUGGCUUCGACGGGUAGCCGGCCUGAGAGGGCGACCGGCCACAUUGGGACUGAGAUACGGCCCAGACUCCUACGGGAGGCAGCAGUGGGGAAUAUUGCACAAUGGGCGCAAGCCUGAUGCAGCGACGCCGCGUGCGGGAUGACGGCCUUCGGGUUGUAAACCGCUUUUGACUGGGAGCAAGCCC
rnacentral:rRNA from 1 species